rnacentral:rRNA from 1 species
AUUGAACGCUGGCGGCAGGCCUAACACAUGCAAGUCGAACGAGUGGCGGACGGGUGAGUAAUGUCUGGGAAACUGCCCGAGGGAGGGGGAUAACUACUGGAAACGGUAGCUAAUACCGCAUAACAUAGGAUGUGCCAAGAUGGGAUUUGCUAGUAGGUGGGGUAAAGGCUCCCCUAGGCGACGCUCCCUAGCUGGUCUGAGCGGAUGACCAUCCACACUGGAACUGCGACACGGUCCAGACUCCUACGGGAGGCAGCAGUGGGGAAUAUUGCACAAUGGGCGCAAGCCUGAUGCAGCCAUGCCGCGUGUAUGAAGAAGGCCUUCGGGUUGUAAAGUACUUUCAGCGGGGAGGCGUUACCCGCAGAAGAAGCACCGGCUAACUCCGUGCCAGCCGCCGCGGUAAUUC